AAGUCAUUUAGGAGGCAACACAACGUCUAUAUAAAGCUUUCCCGCUCGUCGUUCACUGGCGAAACAAGCUUUGGAUUCGAAUCCCUCUUCCCCAAAUUCUCCGCGUCUGUCAAUCUAGAAAUCUGCGACUACCAUGGAAACGUGCGACUUCGAUAGCUGGCAUCCAACCUUACCGGUGAAGUUCUCUCUUCUACAUUCUAUAUCCAUCUCGAGGGAUACUGGAGGAAUCAACACUGUGGGUAGUCUUAGUGGACCACAUAGCAGAGCUGUUAAUCUCUGACAUAGGUGUGGAUCACAUCAUUGAUAACUUUCCACGCUUCGUCUCCCAGUCGUUCAUCCUUAUUGAUUCGGAACCUCGUCGAAAAUCUUUUGCAGGUACGGCACCACUGUUUUCUUAGAGUUAUUUUAAGUGUGCUUGCAUCUAUCGUGGCCAAAACCUCGUCACCAUGACAAAACAAGUCUUACCGUUGUUACCGCUAUUUCAAGCAUCCAUCCAUCAUAUGGCAAACUAAAUGCAUUGCCUGUUAGUUUAUGGCUUCGAGGAUUACGGGCGUAACGUGAAGAGAUGGAGAACGACAUAGUUUAAUGUAAUUAUUGGCAUUGGUAUUAGGAUGUACAGUAUGAAUUACCGGUGGCUUGAUCUUGAUGCGAUGCAGGGUAGGGGAUAUGGAGAACACAUAGGGAAUGUAAGACUUAUUCUCACAGAUCGAAGAGGUAGUAAUUAAAUCCCUGGAGAUCUCGAUAUAGAUAUCGAGUGCGUUGCUAAUAAUGAUUUCCCUACGACUGCGUUGGACACACGUGUCGUGUCCGACAGACACAAGAUCCUGCAAUCGCCACUAUGCCGUGACACUUGCACUGCCGAGUGGGGGCCUGCAUGUGGUCCAUGUCUCGUGAUACCCAAUAGAAUAAGAACCUUGGUUACACCGCACCAGAGGAGAUGCGAGGCUUCGUACCAGCUGGUGUGCAGAAAAUUAAAGGUACAUGACCCAAUGAGCUUUUGGGAUAUGGACCUGCUUGUGAUCUAAUUGUCUCUCACUUUCACCUGUAAUUUCGGUUGGUCUGUGAUGUGGUCGAUCCAAUUGUUCAAUCACUUAACGUUAACCUCCAUAUCUGGAUUUGUUUUGGAGCGGCGAGGAAGAUUAUUAUCCAUCGUCCAAAAGUAUCAUCAAAACAGGGGAAAAGAGGUGCAUCCAUCUCUUUACCCUUGAUGGUGUGCUCACUGACUAGAUUUCUUUCUAGUUUGGCCUGUGAUGAACCUGUAGAUGAAUAUGAACUCGGUCGUGGAUAACAUGUUUUUAAAUAUAUUGGACCAGUAGAGUAGACAGAAGGUAUUUAUUAUUAAUAAAAAAAUAGAAAGCAAACAAUGCAAUCCACAAUCAGGAUAGGAACAGCCAUGAGAGUGACAGGAACAAAGCAGAACCAUUGGAAAGUUACGUUAGAUGCGAGUAAAACUGUUCAUUGUCAUUUGAGUUAUUUCAAUGUUCUAAUAGGUUUCUAAUGGAGUGCAAGAUAUCUGGUGUGGACUGGGACUGUCAGUGUGGCCCGGUUACCUAGAACCAAUCUUAGCCAAUGGGUGCAGAAGAAAUUUCUAUAAGAAUUUAUUUGGUCUUCAGUUUAGUUGAUUAUAUUGUAACAAGUAUACUUUGCUGCACCAUGGCUUAUUAUUUAAGGUUUUUUGUUCAUAAUAUUUGCUCCGAUUAUCUUUGCUUUUCUUUCUGGGUUCCAAGAAAUAUGUUCCGGACGUUGUAACUCUUUUCGUUACAAAUUUUGAUCAAUACGUCACAUUGUGUUUCAUUGGACAAAAUGUUAAUAAGACAAGUUUGGGGCUUUCCUUUUAUACAUCCAGUUUUGCAUGCUAAGAAAUUGGAUCCAACCAUGGUAAAUUCAUAUCCAUUAUUCACCUCUACUAUGGCAUCUCUCAGGCGGCCCAAGCACUAGGAGAAUCCUACUGCUUGCUUUUGUAUUGAGGUGAGACCUGUUACGGCCACGAGCCAG